rnacentral:rRNA from 1 species
UACGGAGGGUGCAAGCGUUGUCCGGAAUCACUGGGCGUAAAGGGCGCGUAGGCGGCUCAUGAAGGCUGUGGUGAAAGUCCGGGGCUCAACCUCGGAUCGGCCGUGGCGACUCGUGGGCUGGAGCACUGUAGAGGCGGGUGGAAUUCCGGGUGUAGCGGUGGAAUGCGUAGAGAUCCGGAAGAACACCGGUGGCGAAGGCGGCCUGCUGGGCAGUUUAGCUGACACUGAGGCGCGACAGCGUGGGGAGCAAACAGG